rnacentral:rRNA from 1 species
AUUGAACGCUGGCGGAAUGCUUUACACAUGCAAGUCGAACGGCAGCACGGACUUCGGUCUGGUGGCGAGUGGCGAACGGGUGAGUAAUGCAUCGGAACGUGCCCAGUCGUGUGGGAUAACGUAGUGAAAAUUACGCUAAUACCGCAUACGAUCUAUGGAUGAAAGCGGGGGAUCGCAAGACCUCGCGCGAUUGGAGCGGCCGAUAUCAGAUUAGGUAGUUGGUGGGGUAAAGGCCCACCAAGCCAACGAUCUGUAGCUGGUCUGAGAGGACGACCAGCCACACUGGAACUGAGACGCGGUCCGGACUCCUACGGGAGGCAGCAGUGGGGAAUUUUGGACAAUGGGCGAAAGCCUGAUCCAGCCAUUCCGCGUGCAGGAUGAAGGCCCUCGGGUUGUAAACUGCUUUUGUACAGAACGAAAAGGUUUCUACUAAUACUAGGAGCUCAUGACGGUACUGUAAGAAUAAGCACCGGCUAACUACGUGCCAGCCGCCGCAGUAA